AUGUUUGUUGUUAAAAUCAGUCAGGAGAACAGUACCCAGUAGCUGAUUUUUCUAUAUAGAUGGAAGUGACCCAAAGAAUGCUCCGUGCCAUGCAGAUAUCGAUGAAGCCAAUUGAAAGCUUGGGAAAAUGAUUCCAACCCUUCAUAAAAGGGAGGGGGCACAUGACAGUAUGGCACACCCCAAGGCUGUCCGACAUCUGGUCACGCCCUGAGCCAAACUUUGAACUGACAGUAGCAACUGGCACAAGCAGAGACAGCACAUUUUUUCAAAGGCAGCAGCUUUCUUACAGGAGAAAAGGGACUGCUGUUGCACUGGCAAGCUGGCGAGGUGGGGGGAAGGACGGAGAGAGAGCUGAGCAGGAUCCAUAGAAGGCUGCUGAAGUAAUCUAGAGGCAUCCCAAGACCACUGAAGAUGGACACUGAGGGACUUUUCUUCCUAACAAAUUGCUUUCAUGGGAAGCUGAAGAGAAUGAAGAGAGGAAAUCGACAUCUUGCCAGGCUGAGACUGUCCCUCUCUGUAAUUAUCCCCCUUACUUAACUCUUAAGUAGGAACCUAGAAAUAGUAACACAUACUUUUUGUCAACACUGAAAGCGGCACAUACAUCCAGUGGGGAGGGACAGUUAACUUUAAACUGUUGGACACUUGAACAUAAAUGAAGCCUUUGAUUGUUUUAUUGAUGCUUCACUACUGCUUAUCCAGGCAGAUAAGGUCCUUCCUGGAUAUCUUAUCAAGUCUAUUCAUGUUCUGUUCAAUUAGCAGCAUUUCAGGAUCCAU